UGGUGCCAGCAGCCGCGGUAAUUCCAGCUCCAAUAGCGUAUAUUAAAGUUGUUGCAGUUAAAAAGCUCGUAGUUGAAUUUCGGGGUUAGUAGGUUGGUCAUGCCUCUGGUAUGUACUGAUCUCACUGAUUCCUCCCUCUUGACGAACUGUAAUGUCAUUAAUUUGGUGUUGCAGGAAAUCAGGACUGUUACUUUGAAAAAAUUAGAGUGUUUAAAGCAGGCUAAGGCUUGAAUACAUUAGCAUGGAAUAAUGAAAUAGGACGUUUGAUCCUAUUUUGUUGGCUUCUAGGAUUGACGUAAUGAUUAAUAGGGAUAGUUGGGGGCAUUAGUAUUCAAUUGUCAGAGGUGAAAUUCUUGGAUUUAUUGAAGACUAACUACUGCGAAAGCAUUUGCCAAGGAUGUUUUCAUUAAUCAAGAACGAAAGUUAGGGGAUCGAAAACGAUCAGAUACCGUCGUAGUCUUAACCAUAAACUAUGCCGACUAGGGAUCGGAUGAUGUUAAUUUUUUAAUGACUCAUUCGGCG
rnacentral:rRNA from 1 species